rnacentral:lncRNA from 1 species
GCAUGGAUCACCGGGAUGAAGCUGUGCCACCCUGUAGGAAUUAGAAGACCAUGUCCAGGAAUUGAGCACUGGGUGCAGGAUCCAGUCUUCUCAGGCCCUGAAUCCACAUGGUGAGAAGUUGAAGGUCACACAGCUGGUGCCUGUGUUCCUGCUCGGUUUCUAGAUUGCUUGGUACUUAAAUGAAACAUCUUAUUAAUCAUUUCCUGGGAAUGCUGUGCAGCCAAAAGGAAAACAAAGGCAUUCAGGACCCACAGAAAAGUGUGCUGGCUCCUGUCCUGGAUCAACACAGAAAGUAAAACACACUGGAUUCUGUUCGGGCUGGGCACAGCAACCUGGCCCAUCCAUGUGGGGCCUACAGUGACCACUUCCGCUGGCUGCACAAAACUGGAGAGAGGCUGGGGUGCUCCAAGUAUAAGUUUCCUCAUCAGCAAACUGGAAAGAGAAAGACCGGCCUGGAGGCUGGUUAUGGGAAUAAAAUAAAUAUGUCCUUAAAUGUGUGUAUAAAGCCCCAGCACAAACAGCAGUCGCCACACGGGUCGGGGAGGCGCUGCUCGGAGCCUUAUGUGACCAUGUUCUCACAUUAUCUUCCAACCAGUUAGGGAGACAGGUACUGCUAUGAUCUCUGUAUUACACAGAAGCAAACUGAA